CAGGGAGACAACAAAAUGUUUAAUAUUAUUAUUUUGUCACCUUAGGUCGAUCGGUAUCUCACGUUUUUAAUUUAUUAAGAAUUUCAUUUCCUAAGUUUUUCUAGGUCACACCCAUUAUUUUUCCUGGGCCAUUAGCUCAGGUGGUUAGAGCGCACCCCUGAUAAGGGUGAGGUCCCUGGUUCAAGUCCAGGAUGGCCCAUAUCUCUAUGUUGGGGGUAUAGCUCAGUUGGUAGAGCGCCUGCUUUGCAAGCAGGAUGUCAGCGGUUCGAGUCCGCUUACCUCCACUGAUCACCACCUCUUUCAUAAUCGGUACAAAGGAAAUUUUUUGAGUUGUGAUCAAAUUCUGAAAGAAUCUAGCUUCCUAAUGAAAUCAUUAAGAUGCUGGACUCAUUGAAUUAAUUUCAUUGUUUUCAGAGAACCUUGACAACUGCAUAGAUUAUUUUUAAAGACAAUAAGCAUCUUUAAUGAUGCAGAUUUAUUAUUUGUGCAAAUGCAUUAAUAACAAUUCUAUUAAGCUGAUGCUUCAAUAUUUGAAGUUAUU
rnacentral:tRNA from 1 species